CCCCCGAUAGCUCAGUUGGAAGAGCGCGAGACUGUAAAUCUUGAGGUCGCUGGUUCGAUCCCGGCUCGGGGGA
rnacentral:tRNA from 4 species